rnacentral:lncRNA from 1 species
AUUAAGGGGAAAAACACAUGCAUUAUACCCUUGAUGUUGACAUUCCAUCUAUCGCAGCAUUAUCAACAUACCGAAACUGUACUCAUUAGCCCGUGGGAUAAGGACUUGGAGGAUAAAUGUUAUUAAAGGAUAUGUUUAUCUUAACUUUACACUGGAAAACUGAAGAUAUGAAGUUUGGGACUGAAGAUAUGUGUACAUUUUAAAUCUUCAAAUUCUUUUAAGAAGCCAUGCAAACCAUCCUAUUUUGUUCUGGCAUUGCAAGUGCUCAUCCUUCUGGAAGGUUUCAGCUUUCACCUCUGCUGGUAAAGUCCCAGUUCACAUCUGACCUCUUCCCCACCUCUGCUUACC